GAUGAACGCUGACAGAAUGCUUAACACAUGCAAGUCUACUUGAACUUCGGUUUGGGUGGCGGACGGGUGAGUAACGCGUAAAGAACUUGCCUCACAGUUAGGGACAACAUUUGGAAACGAAUGCUAAUACCUGAUAUUAUGAUUUUAGGGCAUCCUAAGAUUAUGAAAGCUAUAUGUGCUGUGAGAGAGCUUUGCGUCCCAUUAGCUAGUUGGAGAGGUAACGGCUCACCAAGGCGAUGAUGGGUAGCCGGCCUGAGAGGGUGAACGGCCACAAGGGGACUGAGACACGGCCCUUACUCCUACGGGAGGCAGCAGUGGGGAAUAUUGGACAAUGGACCAAAAGUCUGAUCCAGCAAUUCUGUGUGCACGAUGACGUUUUUCGGAAUGUAAAGUGCUUUCAGUUGGGAAGAAAAAAAUGACGGUACCAACAGAAGAAGUGACGGCUAAAUACGUGCCAGCAGCCGCGGUAAUACGUAUGUCACAAGCGUUAUCCGGAUUUAUUGGGCGUAAAGCGCGUCUAGGUGGUUAUGUAAGUCUGAUGUGAAAAUGCAGGGCUCAACUCUGUAUUGCGUUGGAAACUGCAUGACUAGAGUACUGGAGAGGUAAGCGGAACUACAAGUGUAGAGGUGAAAUUCGUAGAUAUCAGGAAGAACACCGGAGGCGAAGGCGGCUUACUGGACAAUAACUGACGUUGAGGCUCGAAAGCGUGGGUAGCAAACAGG
rnacentral:rRNA from 1 species